GACGUAGGGUCCAAGCGUUGUUCGGAAUCACUGGGCGUAAAGCGCACGUAGGCGGAUCUUUAAGUCAGGGGUGAAAUCCCGAGGCUCAACCUCGGAACUGCCUUUGAUACUGGGGAUCUCGAGUCCGGGAGAGGUGAGUGGAACUGCGAGUGUAGAGGUGAAAUUCGUAGAUAUUCGCAAGAACACCAGUGGCGAAGGCGGCUCACUGGCCCGGUACUGACGCUGAGGUGCGAAAGCGUGGGGAGCAAACAGG
rnacentral:rRNA from 1 species